rnacentral:rRNA from 1 species
GAAUGCUGACAUAAGUAACGAUAAAGCGGGUGAAAAGCCCGCUCGCCGGAAGACCAAGGGUUCCUGUCCAACGUUAAUCGGGGCAGGGUGAGUCGACCCCUAAGGCGAGGCCGAAAGGCGUAGUCGAUGGGAAACAGGUUAAUAUUCCUGUACUUGGUGUUACUGCGAAGGGGGGACGGAGAAGGCUAUGUUGGCCGGGCGACGGUUGUCCCGGUUUAAGCGUGUAGGCUGGUUUUCCAGGCAAAUCCGGAAAAUCAAGGCUGAGGCGUGAUGACGAGGCACUACGGUGCUGAAGCGACAAAUGCCCUGCUUCCAGGAAAAGCCUCUAAGCAUCAGGUAACAUCAAAUCGUACCCCAAACCGACACAGGUGGUCAGGUAGAGAAUACCAAGGCGCUUGAGAGAACUCGGGUGAAGGAACUAGGCAAAAUGGUGCCGUAACUUCGGGAGAAGGCACGCUGAUAUGUAGGUGAAGCGACUUGCUCGUGGAGCUGAAAUCAGUCGAAGAUACCAGCUGGCUGCAACUGUUUAUUAAAAACACAGCACUGUGCAAACACGAAAGUGGACGUAUACGGUGUGACGCCUGCCCGGUGCCGGAAGGUUAAUUGAUGGGGUUAGCGGUAACGCGAAGCUCUUGAUCGAAGCCCCGGUAAACGGCGGCCGUAACUAUAACGGUCCUAAGGUAGCGAAAUUCCUUGUCGGGUAAGUUCCGACCUGCACGAAUGGCGUAAUGAUGGCCAGGCUGUCUCCACCCGAGACUCAGUGAAAUUGAACUCGCUGUGAAGAUGCAGUGUACCCGCGGCAAGACGGAAAGACCCCGUGAACCUUUACUAUAGCUUGACACUGAACAUUGAGCCUUGAUGUGUAGGAUAGGUGGGAGGCUUUGAAGUGUGGACGCCAGUCUGCAUGGAGCCGACCUUGAAAUACCACCCUUUAAUGUUUGAUGUUCUAACGUGGGCCCCUUACCGGGGUUGCGGACAGUGUCUGGUGGGUAGUUUGACUGGGGCGGUCUCCUCCUAAAGAGUAACGGAGGAGCACGAAGGUUGGCUAAUCCUGGUCGGACAUCAGGAGGUUAGUGCAAUGGCAUAAGCCAGCUUGACUGCGAGCGUGACGGCGCGAGCAGGUGCGAAAGCAGGUCAUAGUGAUCCGGUGGUUCUGAAUGGAAGGGCCAUCGCUCAACGGAUAAAAGGUACUCCGGGGAUAACAGGCUGAUACCGCCCAAGAGUUCAUAUCGACGGCGGUGUUUGGCACCUCGAUGUCGGCUCAUCACAUCCUGGGGCUGAAGUAGGUCCCAAGGGUAUGGCUGUUCGCCAUUUAAAGUGGUACGCGAGCUGGGUUUAGAACGUCGUGAGACAGUUCGGUCCCUAUCUGCCGUGGGCGCUGGAGAACUGAGGGGGGCUGCUCCUAGUACGAGAGGACCGGAGUGGACGCAUCACUGGUGUUCGGGUUGUCAUGCCAAUGGCACUGCCCGGUAGCUAAAUGCGGAAGAGAUAAGUGCUGAAAGCAUCUAAGCACGAAACUUGCCCCGAGA